rnacentral:rRNA from 1 species
GACGGAGGAUGCAAGCGUUAUCCGGAAUGAUUGGGCGUCAAGCGUCCGCAGGUGGCAGUUCAAGUCUGCUGUCAAAGACCGGGGCUUAACUUCGGAAAGGCAGUGGAAACUGAACAGCUAGAGUAUGGUAGGGGCAGAGGGAAUUCCUGGUGUAGCGGUGAAAUGCGUAGAGAUCAGGAAGAACAUCGGUGGCGAAGGCGGCGAUCUGGACGAUGACUGACGCUGAGACGCGAAAGCGUGGGGAGCAAACAGG